AAUGAACGCUGGCGGCAGGCCUAACACAUGCAAGUCGAACGGAUCCUUCGGGAUUAGUGGCGGACGGGUGAGUAACGCGUGGGAACAUACCCUUUGGUACGGAAUAGCCUCGGGAAACUGGGAGUAAUACCGUAUGUGGUCGAGAGACGAAAGAUUUAUCGCCAAAGGAUUGGCCCGCGUUGGAUUAGGUAGUUGGUGGGGUAAUGGCCUACCGAGCCGACGAUCCAUAGCUGGUUUGAGAGGAUGAUCAGCCACACUGGGACUGAGACACGGCCUAGACUCCUACGGGAGGCAGCAGUGGGGAAUCUUAGACAAUGGGGGAAACCCUGAUCUAGCCAUGCCGCGUGAUCGAUGAAGGCCUUAGGGUUGUAAAGAUCUUUCAGGUGGGAAGAUAAUGGCUGUACCACCAGAAGAAGCCCCGGCUAACUCCGUGCCAGCCGCCGCGGUAAGAC
rnacentral:rRNA from 1 species